rnacentral:tRNA from 1 species
GGCGCGGUGGUGGAAUCGGUAUACACAGGAGAUUUAAAAUCUCCCGGUCCUAGACCUUGCGAGUUCGAGUCUCGCCCGCGCUACCA